UACAGAGGGUGCGAGCGUUAAUCGGAAUUACUGGGCGUAAAGCGCACGUAGGUGGCGACGUAAGUCGGGUGUGAAAGCCCCGGGCUCAACCUGGGAAUUGCAUUCGAGACUGCAUUGCUGGAGUACGGAAGAGGAAGGCGGAAUUCCCGGUGUAGCGGUGAAAUGCGCAGAUAUCAGGAGGAACACCAAUGGCGAAGGCAGCUCGCUGGAACGGUACUGACGCUGAGGCGCGAAAGCGUGGGGAGCGAACAGG
rnacentral:rRNA from 1 species